rnacentral:rRNA from 1 species
GUGCCAGCCGCCGCGGUAAUACCGGCAGCUCAAGUGAUGUCCCAUAUUAUUGGGCCUAAAGCGUCCGUAGCUGGCCGACCAAGUCCCCCGGGAAAUCCACCCGCCCAACGGGUGGGCGUCCGGUAGAAACUGGCCGGCUUGGAACCGGAAGGCUCAGAGAGUACGUCCGGGGUAGGAGUGAAAUCCCGUAAUCCCGGACGGACUACCGAUGGCGAAAGCACUCUGAGAAGACGGCUUCGACAGUGAGGGACGAAAGCUCGGGUCUCAAACCGGAUUAGAUACCCGGGUAGUCC